rnacentral:misc_RNA from 1 species
AACUUUUAGCAAUGGAUCACUUGGCUCUCGCAUCGAUGAAGAACGCAGCGAAAUGAGAUAAGUAAUGUGAAUUGCAGAAUUCAGUGAAUCAUCGAAUCUUUGAACGCAUCUUGCGCUCCUUGGUAUUCCGAGGAGCAUGCCUGUUUGAGUUUCAUUUGACCUUCUCAACCACAUCGUUCUUGUUUUGAAUGUGUGUGGCUUGGAUGUGGGGGGAAUAAUUUUAUUUUGCAGGCUUCAAAUCAAGAAGCCUGCUCCCCUGAAAUGCAUUAGUGGUGUCUGAGCUGCUAUUGGUGUGAUAAAUUAUCUAUGCCUUUGGUGAUGCUGGUCAGCACGGCUUAUAACGGACUUGUGAUCAUUUGACAAAUUUGACCUCAAAUCAGGUAGGACUACCCGCUGAACUUAAGCAUAUCAAUAAGCGGAGGCU